AAGACUAUACUUUCAGGGAUCAUUUCUAUAGUUUCUAGCUAGGAAAUGUGAUUUGAAAGUGUUAUGUCUCUCUAAUCACAAUGAUGAGUUUUGAUGCACUCUUCUGAGCAUGAAUCAGCUCUAGCCUAAUGAUUCUUUCAUGGGUUUUUAAUCAUUGAUGAAUGUUCUCUACUUCUUAUGAGGUAUGAGUGGAAGAGUACAUGGUCAGAGUGAC